rnacentral:rRNA from 1 species
AGGGUUCGAUUCUGGCUCAGGAUGAACGCUGGCGGCGUGCUUAACACAUGCAAGUCGAACGGGAUCCAUCAGGCUUUGCUUGGUGGUGAGAGUGGCGAACGGGUGAGUAAUGCGUGACCGACCUGCCCCAUACACCGGAAUAGCUCCUGGAAACGGGUGGUAAUGCCGGAUGCUCCAGUUGGAUGCAUGUCCUUCUGGGAAAGAUUCUAUCGGUAUGGGAUGGGGUCGCGUCCUAUCAGCUUGAUGGCGGGGUAACGGCCCACCAUGGCUUCGACGGGUAGCCGGCCUGAGAGGGCGACCGGCCACAUUGGGACUGAGAUACGGCCCAGACUCCUACGGGAGGCAGCAGUGGGGAAUAUUGCACAAUGGGCGCAAGCCUGAUGCAGCGACGCCGCGUGAGGGAUGGAGGCCUUCGGGUUGUAAACCUCUUUUAUCGGGGAGCAAGCGAGAGUGAGUUUACCCGUUGAAUAAGCACCGGCUAACUACGUGCCAGCAGCCGCGGUAAUACGUAGGGUGCAAGCGUUAUCCGGAAUUAUUGGGCGUAAAGGGCUCGUAGGCGGUUCGUCGCGUCCGGUGUGAAAGUCCAUCGCUUAACGGUGGAUCCGCGCCGGGUACGGGCGGGCUUGAGUGCGGUAGGGGAGACUGGAAUUCCCGGUGUAACGGUGGAAUGUGUAGAUAUCGGGAAGAACACCAAUGGCGAAGGCAGGUCUCUGGGCCGUUACUGACGCUGAGGAGCGAAAGCGUGGGGAGCGAACAGGAUUAGAUACCCUGGUAGUCCACGCCGUAAACGGUGGAUGCUGGAUGUGGGGCCCGUUCCACGGGUUCCGUGUCGGAGCUAACGCGUUAAGCAUCCCGCCUGGGGAGUACGGCCGCAAGGCUAAAACUCAAAGAAAUUGACGGGGGCCCGCACAAGCGGCGGAGCAUGCGGAUUAAUUCGAUGCAACGCGAAGAACCUUACCUGGGCUUGACAUGUUCCCGACGGUCGUAGAGAUACGGCUUCCCUUCGGGGCGGGUUCACAGGUGGUGCAUGGUCGUCGUCAGCUCGUGUCGUGAGAUGUUGGGUUAAGUCCCGCAACGAGCGCAACCCU